rnacentral:rRNA from 1 species
UGGGGAAUAUUGGACAAUGGGCGAAAGCCUGAUCCAGCCAUGCCGCGUGUGUGAAGAAGGUCUUCGGAUUGUAAAGCACUUUAAGUUGGGAGGAAGGGCAGUUACCUAAUACGUGAUUGUUUUGACGUUACCGACAGAAUAAGCACCGGCUAACUCUGUGCCAGCAGCCGCGGUAAUACAGAGGGUGCAAGCGUUAAUCGGAAUUACUGGGCGUAAAGCGCGCGUAGGUGGUUUGUUAAGUUGGAUGUGAAAUCCCCGGGCUCAACCUGGGAACUGCAUUCAAAACUGACUGACUAGAGUAUGGUAGAGGGUGGUGGAAUUUCCUGUGUAGCGGUGAAAUGCGUAGAUAUAGGAAGGAACACCAGUGGCGAAGGCGACCACCUGGACUAAUACUGACACUGAGGUGCGAAAUCGUGGGGAGCAAACA